rnacentral:rRNA from 1 species
UGUCGAUGAAAAGAACGCAGCAAACUGUGCGUCAUCGUGUGAACUGCAGGACACAUGAACAUCGACAUUUUGAACGCAUAUCGCAGUCCAUGCUGUUAUGUACUUUAAUUAACGUUAGAGUGCUGCUUGGACUACAUAUGGUUGAGGGUUGUAAGACUAUGCUAAAUAAGUUGUUUAAAAUUUAUAUAAAUUUUAAGCAUAUGGUAUAUUAUUGGAUAAUAUGUAUACAUGUAUACAAUAUAUUCAUAAUAUGAAAUUUAUAUGAAAAUACAUCUCAAUAUAAAAAUUGUAUGAGAAAAAUGAAGAAUUAUAAAUUCUUUUUUCAAUUCAAUUAAUACUGAGGAAUGUCUAGCAUAAAAAAUUUGAUUAUUUUUCAUCUAGAAUUGCCUCUUAUUACUGAUGCGAUAAAGAAAACUUUUGUGAAUAUUAUGGACCUUCAUUCGUAUUUAUCAUAUUGUUGAAAUAUUUAAUAUUUCAAUAUAACAUUGUUUUAUACAACCUCAACUCAUAUGGGACUACCCCCUGAAUUUAAGCAUAUUAAUUAGGGGAGGAAAAGAAACUAACAAGGAUUUUCUUAGUAGCGGCGAGCGAAAAGAAAUCAGUUCAGCACUAAGUCACUUUGUCUAUAUGGCAAAUGUGAGAUGCAGUGUAUGGAACAUCAAUAUUCUAGUAUGAGAAAUUAACGAUUUAAGUCCUUCUUAAAUGAGGCCAUUUACCCAUAGAGGGUGCUAGGCCCGUAUAACGUUGAUGAUUACUAGAUGGUGUUUCCAAAGAGUCGUGUUGCUUGAUAGUGCAGCACUAAGUGGGUGGUAAACUCCAUCUAAAACUAAAUAUAACCAUGAGACCGAUAGUAAACAAGUACCGUGAGGGAAAGUUGAAAAGAACUCUGAAUAGAGAGUUAAAUAGUACGUGAAACUGCUUAGAGGUUAAGCCCGAUGAACCUGAAUAUCCGUUAUGGAAAAUUCAUCAUUAGAAUUGUAAUAUUUAAACAAUAUUAUAAGGAUAGUGUGCAUUUUUUCCAUAUAAGGACAUUGUAAUCUAUUAGUAUAACCCCAUAUUUAUCAAAAAAUUAUGGCUUAUAGUUUAUUUAAAUUAAAAUGCUUGCGUUUUAACACAAAAUAAAUGUCAUAAAUUUGAUAAAGUACUGAUAGACUUAUAUGACUACAGUGCGUUAAUUCUUCGGAAUUAUAUAAUGGCAUGAUUAUCAUUGAUUUUUGUGUUUAUUAUAUGCACUUGUACGAUUAACAAUGCGAAAGAUUCAGGAUACCUUCGGGACCCGUCUUGAAACACGGACCAAGGAGUCUAACAUAUGUGCAAGUUAUUGGGAUAUAAACCUAAUAGCGUAAUUAACUUGACUAAUAAUGGGAUUAGUUUUUUAACUAUUUAUAGUUAAUUAACACAAUCCCAGGGCGUUCUUUAUAGUUAUGUAUAAUAGUAUUUAUAUUAUUUAUGCCUCUAACUGGAACGUACCUUGAGCAUUUAUGCUGUGACCCGAAAGAUGGUGAACUAUACUUGAUCAGGUUGAAGUCAGGGGAAACCCUGAUGGAAGACCGAAACAGUUCUGACGUGCAAAUCGAUUGUCAGAAUUGAGUAUAGGGGCGAAAGACCAAUCGAACCAUCUAGUAGCUGGUUCCCUUCCGA